AACCUCCUCCCCUGCCCUCCCCCAGGCCGUGCUGGACGUGGGGCUCGCCCACGAGGCCUCGCUGGAUUUGGGGGCUCUGGGCCCCAACGUCUCCCUCAGGGCGGCCGCCUACACCGGGGGCGGGGAGGGGCCCUGGAGCCCCCCCCUGCUGCUGCCACCGCCCCGUGAGUCACCGGAAACCCCGAAUCCACCCCAAAUCCCCAAAUCCACCCCAAAUCCCCCAAUCCCCCCCCAAAACCCCAAAUCCACCCCAAAACCCCCAAAUCCUCCCCAAAUCCCCGAAUCCACCCCAGAAACCCCAAACCCACCCCAAAUCCCCAAAUCCACCCCAAAUCCCCAAAUCCACCCCAAAAACCCCAAACCCACCCCAAAAACCCCAAACUCACCCCAAAAACCCCAAAUCCACCCCAAAUCCACCCCAAAAACCCCAAAUCCACCCCAAAAUCCCUGAAAAACCCCAAAUUCAUCCCCACCCCAAAAAACCCUGAAAUUCCCAAUUCUGCUCCCCAAAUCCCUGACCCUGCACCCCCAAAUCCCCCCCAAUCCCCCCGGUGUCCCCAAUCCCCCCCGGUGUCCCCAAUCCCCCCGAUGUCCCCAAUCCCCCCCGGUGUCCCCAAUCCCCCCCGGUGUCCCCAAUCCCCCCCGAUGUCCCCAAUCCCCCCCGGUGUCCCCAAUCCCCCUGAUGUCCCCAAUCCCCCCCGAUGUCCCCAAAUCCCCCCCGGUGUCCCCACAGCUGCCGAGGCCCCGCUGGAGUCGCAGCCAGUGCGGCCGCCGUUCCUGGCCGGCGCUGGGUGGCCGCUGCUGGUGGCCCUGGUGGCCCUGGUGACGCUGGCCCUGGUGGGCCUGGUGGUGAUGGCGGCGCGGAGACGCCACAAAGAGACGCGCUACGGGGCCGCCUUCGCUCCGGCCGUUCGCUUCCGCGUCCGCAGCUCCUACGGGCACCGCUCGGCGCAGGCCACGCGUGAGUGACCGCGGGGACACCGCGGGGACACCGCGGGCACCUGAGGGUCACCUCGGUGUCACCUGGGUCACCUGUGUGCCCAAUGUCCCCAAAUGGCCCCAAUCCCCCAAAUGUCCCUGAUGUCCCCAAAUGUCCCAAAUGUCCCCAAAUGUCCCCCAAUGUCCCCGAUGUCCCCAUGCCCCAAUGUCUCCAUUGCUCUCCCCAAAAUGUCCCUCAUGUCCCCAAAUGUCCCCAGUCGCCCAAAUGUCCCCAAAUGUCCCCAUGGCUGUCGCGAUGUCCCCGAUGUCCCUAAUGU
rnacentral:lncRNA from 1 species